rnacentral:lncRNA from 10 species
UCACAGUGUGUUCCUGCAGAGAAACAAGCAAAACAGGAUGACUCAUCCAGGACUCUCUGGCUCCCAUGGCCUCUGAAAGCAAAGUCGGAACUCUCUGGAACAAUGCGAGGGAGAUUCCCAGCGUGGGUGUGUGUGGAUGAGGAAACUGAGGAAAGAGUCGAAGAUCACAAGCCUGGUAAGAAAGGAGCUGGGAUUUGAAGCUGCCCGUAAUCCCAUCCCAGAGUCUGUGUUUGCUAAGUAGGCUGUUGAGAGUGACCCUGAAUUGACUGUGGAAAUAUACAAAACUCUAUGGAGCUCAGCACUCGUUUAACAAAGAAGAGGCAUUUUUUAAAAAAUCUGUAAAGUAAAACAGACAGCUUCUCAUUUACUUUUUUUAAAAAAAAAAGACUGUGUGUGCAUGUAUGUACGCAAAUGCCUGAAGUGGGACUGGAUUACUUCCAGGAGACUUGAUUACUUUGAUUUUCACAUCUGUGUAUUUCUACAUUACUGGCACCUUUUUUACAAGUAUCUAUUUUUUUAUAAUUUUAUUAAAAACUUUAAAAAUCUAAUGCUAUUUGAAAGGUGGGAUAUCUGCUGAUGUUACACUGGA